CAGUAGCCGCGGUAAUACGUAGGUGGCAAGCGUUGUCCGGAAUUAUUGGGCGUAAAGGGCUCGCAGGCGGUUUCUUAAGUCUGAUGUGAAAGCCCCCGGCUCAACCGGGGAUGGUCAUUGGAAACUGGGAAACUUGAGUGCAGAAGAGGAGAGUGGAAUUCCACGUGUCGCGGUGAAAUGCGUAGAGAUGUGGAGGAACACCAGUGGCGAAGGCGACUCUCUGGUCGGUAACUGACGCUGAGGAGCGAAAGCGUGGGGAGCGAACAGGAUUAGAGACCCCUGUAGUCCCUGUCUCUUAUAU
rnacentral:rRNA from 1 species